rnacentral:rRNA from 1 species
UACGUAGGGUGCGAGCGUUAAUCGGAAUUACUGGGCGUAAAGUGUGCGCAGGCGGCCAUGCAAGUCGAGUGUGAAAGCCCCGGGCUUAACUUGGGAAUUGCGCUCGAAACUACGUGGCUGGAGUGUGGCAGAGGAAGGUGGAAUUCCACGUGUAGCGGUGAAAUGCGUAGAGAAUGUGGAGGAACACCAAUGGCGAAGGCAG